CACACUCGAUAGCAUAGAAGCACGGCGGUCAAAAUGGCGGUCCCACCGCGAAUGAGGAUUCUUCUCUCGAACCAGACCAAUCUAGUUCGCGAACCUUAUCAGAAGCCUGCCGCUCAACCCCCAACACCGCUGACUAAUGAAUCGCGUUUUGUGUCGGAAUAUGGCUCCGAAAUCCUGACAUACUUCUUGGAGGUGGAGCGCGUGGUUUACAGUGAGCGAAUGUACAUGAGCCGCCAGUCGGAGGUCACUGACCGCAUGCGUAAAAUCCUGAUAGAUUGGCUGAUUGAUGUCGUCACAGAGUUCAAACUUCAUCCUGAAACGUUUUUUCUCGCCGUAGAUAUCAUUGAUAGAUUCCUUUUUUUCUACAGUAUCCCGCGUACAAAGCUGCAGCUGGUGGGCGUUACAGCUAUCUUGGUUGCGGCUAAGCACGAAGAAAUCUGGCCACCAACGGUGAAUGACUGCGUCGCCGUGACAGCUAACACGUACACCUCAAGGGAGGUAAUCGACAUGGAGUUCGACGUUGUUACCACCCUCCGGUUUAAGUUUACUGUUCCCACGACGUAUCCGAUAACUUGUCGACUGUUGGAGAGCUGCCACAUGGCGCCUGCAGUGCGUCACGCCACGUUUCUGUUUUUGGAGAGCGCUGCGCACUGUUAUCCACUCCUGCAGUUCCUUCCGUCGCGCAUUGCAGCAGGGGCUGUUCUUUUGGGAGCAUUUUUGAUUCGCUACAACAGGUCCAAGGGUGUAAUUUCACUCCAAGGUCUCUGGGAGAUUGAAGUAUCUCCGUUUGCACAGGGUAUCGGAUUUGAGGAGCUUCAGCCUGUCACUGAGCAGCUUCUCCCGUUCACUCAGCGUUUGUGCAGUGGCUCUUCGCGCCUUCAGGCGGUGCGACGCAAAUACUCUUCUAGCGAGUACGAUUGCGUAGCAUCUUUGGAAUUUCCUUUCAUUUCAGCUUCUGCGUGAAGGAUCGAUCUCCUUCUAGUGUCUGCUUUCGUAGUAGUGUCACAACCGUGGAACUCGCUUUUUUUUACAGUAUACUAUAGAGUUAGACUGACUAGUUUUCUCUCUGAAUCUUAGUCAUAUUUUCCCUCUUACACAGCUCAUGUUUUCAGGGUAGUCUUUUUUUCUUAGAUUAGUCAAAAGUGAUUACCCUUUGGUGGUACCCUACCAUUUUUCUCUUUUUAUGCCGUACUCAUCUAUUACUCAGCAUACCUCUGUCGGUGUUAUUUUCGAAACACGGCAGCAUGAAAGAAACGCAAAAGGGUGGGGUCGCUUGACUUCACCCUCACUGCCGCUUCUCGAGUUGUUUUGCCACUACAGCAUCUAAAGAAACCUUGACGACGAGAGACACCUCAGUGUGGUAUCCAGGGUUCAGUGCCCACUCUCUGCGGGGAAGCCAGGCAGCCCCUCCCCCUAUCCCUGUCAGUGCCGGACCACCCCUCGUGGUGCCAGGGUCAGGUACCUACGACGUAGCGAAGUCAGAGCGAUUUAUCGCUACGGGUGUCGGCGGUCAUGUCCUGGAUGGCGCUGCGUGGGGGAGGCCUGCAGCCGUGAACGUGUUUGUGCGAACCAUAUGAUGGGCAGUAUGCCGCCCUGACCCGAACGUAUCUCACCCGGCCCUCACCGCGCCCUGGCUCGGGGAGCCCGAGGCGCCCGGAGGGAUGCGCGACGUGGCGACCGGGCACAAGGCGAGCGGCCGUGAGGGGCGACCUUGCGGGGCGGGGAGGGCGGGUAGAGGGUCUGGGGCGGAGGCCGCGCUUCGCUGACUGGGUCGGCGCAUUUCUGCAGCGGCGCGUGUCUACGGCUGCUUGGCGCCACGCGGUGUGGGGGCCUGUGGCUGGGCCGGGUGGGAGGGAGGAAGGGGCGUUGUGCCCAUGCUGUAUGGCAGAGAAAUACACGCGUUGAAAGGCAAAAGCGUGUACAGCGAAAAAAAAAAGGAUCUGGUGAAGAAAUAUUGUUACUGCGCAUCGUCUUCACCGUCGAGGGCUCUCAGCACGCUUUUCGGAUCGUCAUGCUGCUCUUGCUUUUGUUGCAGUAACUUACAAAAUCGCUUUCUUUGUCUUGUAAACACUGAGGCUCUGACGUCUGCUAAG
rnacentral:misc_RNA from 1 species